CUAGAAGAGCAUAAUAUAUUUGAUAAACUGUAUAUUAAUAUGGUUUCAAGAUUUGUUUUAAUUAAUUUCGAUAAUUUCGAUAAAUAACUAGUUGUUAGUUUGUCUAUAACAUUGUAAGAAUCUUAAGUUUUGUUAAUUGAAUUUGCACAAAUUCUUUGUGGGGCUCAACAAAAAUCUUCACAAAUUCGCCUACAAAAUUAUUGUUUAUAGUGAUAACUGAUAAGAUGAUCAUCCUGUAUAUAGGUACCAUACGUAUUACGCAUAUGUGAUGUAUAGUUUAUUAACUUAUUAUAUUACGAGUAUAAGUCGUCUAAAGAAAUAUUUUUUUUCUUUUUAUUGACAUCGACGCACACACACUAGCUGUUUUGAAGGAACCAGUCUUACUCGUUUUUUGUAAAAUAAAUAUUUCUCUUUAAAUUGAAUUGCUUAAAAAUCGCCUCGUCGCUCACUCACCCCACAUUUGCACUUAGCCUUCACACGACGCAGACUCGCUAUUUUUUUUUCUGCACCGUGUCUGCACCGUAUCGCACUCUUUGCCCGGCUGUAACGUGUGGUUUCUCCGAACUGAUCGAACAAAUUAAUAAUUAAUAACACAUAUUAUACACCGAGAGCCGUCUCAUUGCGAUACAUUAAACGCGUUUUGGGUCGUCCACCGACGACACAUAAUGAUAUUUAUGUCAUAAUAUUAUUAUUAUUACUAUAUAUAUAUAUAGUGACGACGACGGUAGUCCGAAAGCGGUCUCGAGCGGCGACUUUUCUGCGACGUGGCCAAACCGCGCGCUGCGCCUGCCGCGACGAUCGUCCGCAAAACGAUAUUAUUAUUAGUCUCAACUCUCUGACCGGCCGUAUAAAUCCGGAUCGAAUUCCCUCCGCCAAAGCCCCGGAGACUUCUUCGGUUUUUUUUUUCUGUUCGUCACAUCCAGACCACUAUAAUAAUAUUCUAGAUCAACAGAUGCACACACACACACGCACACACCUGUUUUUUUUAUAUUAUAGUUAUUUUCAUUUAUCAUUAUUUGUAUUCGUCGUCCUCGGCCAAGCAGCUAAGAGGGGAGGGCAUGCAACACACGCACGGGUCGCCAUUAACCGCCUACCAUGUCGACGGCGGGCAAGGUCGUUUACGGGUCACAAGUCAUCGGUGUUUUACCAUAAUGAGCGCUGCGCCUUUUUCAUUAUUAUUAUUAUUAUUAUUGUUAUUUCUUUUCGUGACGUCUGUCGACAGUGGCAGUGGCGACGUCGGCGAACACACCGCUGUGACCGUAUAUACCGUAUAUAUAACCUAUACACGAAACUCAUAAUAUAUCCUACCUACACUGCACUGCACACAGCACACACUAUAAUGUACACGUACCUAUUACGUAUUAUAUGGUACUGCACUGUUGUAUUUAUAACAACACCUCAUACGCUGCACGUACACACCUCUAUUAUUAUCGUUGUAUGUACACCGCGUCGAGAGUAUACUGUGUAUUGUUUACUCGGUGACAUCAUUUUCCGGAAAGUUUAAUAUUUGAUUUCGACUAACUAACUAACUGGCUUAUCCGGCGAUAAAAAAUAUAAAGAGAUACCUACAACAGACACCUCUCCACAUAAAUAUAUAUCAAACAAUAUGUACCCACGGUUUUACGACUCACACUUGUCGCGCAUAAUAUAGGUACGCGCCCACGAGGUGAAACGAGCGUUCACAGGUUGACGUCGUUUAUCUAACGUUAAUAAUUGUAUGCGUCGUAUCGAUGUCGUUUUUGAUAUUUGUAUAUAGUAACGUGUUCAUCACACAUUCAUGGCUGUGUUCGUAAUAAAGCGUUAAUGUCACAUUGAUAAGAACGCGUUGUGUACACCAAGUCCGCGUGGAUGCGAUGGUAUUUUUCAACAAUAUUACUGUUCUUCAAUACGCAUAUAUAGCAUACCUACCAUAUUAUACGACGUACAGCCGUACAGAUUGUCGAUCACGCUGUACGCGCGGUGCAGCUUGUACACGAUCGCGUGUACGUAAUAUAAUAUAAUCGUACAUAAUAUUAUUAUUGUAUACACCGAUGUACGUACUAUGAUUACGAGCUGGUUAAGAGGAGGAUAAGUGUACCGCAACAACAUCACCGUGGGCCGACCGACGACGGCACAGCGGUCCGGAAUGGGUGCCCGGAGGUCGGCAGAACCAGAUCUCGGGUCAGCCGGGUCAUCGGAAGAAAAAAAAACAACCACAGAUAUGCGUCGGGUCGUUCUGGGGUCACGUUAUACACGAAUACAUGAUAUACACUGCACACGCACACGCAUGCUGUACCACUAAGUAGCCAGCAGGUAUCUGAUAUUCUAUUAUAUAUAUAUAUAUUACUGUAAAAAUACGAAUACCGGUUAAACCUAGGUUUUACCGGUAAAUCCUAGGUUUCACCGACUACUGUGGGUAAACGUUCGAUCGAUUUCGGUCAAAUCUAGGAUGCACAAAAUAGUCAAACCCCGAUUGAAUGUUGUAUAGUUUGGACUUUUACAAACGAGAUUUGGUAAAUAUUAGAAUAAACGAUCAUUGUUGUUAAAAGUCCGUCAUUCAUUACCAAUUGUGUAAUUUUUUUCUGAAGUUUCUUGUUACCUAUAUACAUUUGAAAAAUAAAAACCUCUAUACUGUCAUGCGUAACAUUUACACAAUGUAUUUCCUGCGACUCGUAACAAUAAUAUAAUAUUGAAUGAUAUUUCGAUGAAAUGAAAGGAGAAAUAAAUCAGUUUUGUGAAGUGGGGGGAGGGGGAUGGGGUGAGUACAAAGUUACAAACGUUAAAAAAAAUGCAGCCCGCUGACCAGUGACCAGUGACCACGACCGACGACGACGACGACGGGCGGUCGUGCGUACACUAAUAAUAAUACACGCCGGACCGUGAAAAACGUUAAUUUUUUAUAUCCAUUUAGAUUGUUUCGUUUUUUUUUCUUUCAUUUCGCGCACAAUACAAUUGAACGGACAACCGCUGCGUUGAAUGAUAAAAAGAAACGAAAAAAUAAAAUAAAAAAACAGUAGUAGAGGCCAGAGGGAAUGGUCGAGCAAGGCAAUCGAGCGCGGCUUUUGAACUUCGCCGCCGUAGUGUUGACCUCUAUAUCGACGGUGAUUAGUUAAAACAUUAGCAAAAGUGCACGGACCAACUUAAAUUCAAAAUUGUGUUUUUGAAUUUCCAUAUAGUGUAAAAACGGACAUUGUAAUAUUUAUAACCGAAAAGUUGAUUUUUUUUACGGUUUUAUUUGGUUUCUAAACACCGUCGAUAUAAUACAGUAUAGUUUUCUUCGGGAACUAUUAUUACAUCUAUAAUAUAUUAUAUUAACAAAACAUGCACAGUUAAAAUCAGAUAGGUAGGUCCUACGUAUUUUUCGGCUCUUGACAAUCUGCAUGCGGCCACCGCGCACGUACCCAUUGCCACAUCAUUAGCACAGUGGCCAGCCAUUAUAGGUUUUACUGUCGUCGUUAGUAUAUAAUAAUAUUAUUCUAUCGGACGGAAAUCGUAUUUGGAAAAAAAAAUCACAGUCAUCCCGAGUGCGUUUUAUUGCUGAUGCUUCCUCCGAAUCAGUGACAAUAAUUUACAAUCCCAUUGUUUAGUUUUUAUUUUUUGCUGCUAACGAACUCCUCCUUUAAAAUACCGCAAUAUCGUCAUUAUUACAUUCGCCGCCACUGUUCGCAGAAGUGACUAACCCACGCGUUAUUAUAUUAUUAUUAUUAUUAUUAUUAUUGUCAUUGUUGUGGUAGGUAUUUUACACGUGCCCCGAAAAAUUACUUAGUCAUUUUAUCCCUUGUUCAGAUAUUUACGUGAUAAAUUUUAAAUCUCGAUUUAUAACCUAGUUUGAAUAAUCAGCGGCGUCAUUUGAGGGGUGGAAAGGUGGGCAUUUGCACUUGUCUGAUUUUAAAAGCAGCCCAAUGGGCCGGUUCCCGGUUUAUGCACGUAUUUAUCAAUGAAAGGGAAUACAAUAUGUAAAUAUGGUAUUGCGAGUGGUUGUUUUUAAGUUAACCAUUUGGGCUGGUAAAAACUUUUGUCCCCCUCUAUUGAAAACUGAAAUGAUGCAUAUAAAUAAUUAUAUAUUACAACUUAACUACUUAUUCGAAAUUUGAUUUUUAUAAAGCAAUAUUCUCAAAAAAUAUAAUUAUUUAAAAAAAAAUAUAGUUUUUUAAUAACUUAUUAAUUAUGAAUUAUUAAAUAUGAAACAAAUAUAUUUUUAAAACCAUUAAUCAGUUUCAAAAUAAUGAAAAUAAUGAAUGCUUACUGUUAAUAAGCAUCCAGUAGUUGGACUAUAAGUUUUUUUUUUUGGGGGGGGGUCCGGCCUUUAGACCAUCCCGUGAAACAAAUUUCCCUCCAUCUUAUUUGGACUAUAAGUACUAACCUUUAAAUAUAAUAUAACUAUAUAUACGUAGAUAAUUUAAUGCAAACUCGCGUUCAGUUAUUAUACAUAUUUUCGACGUGUCAGCGGUCAAACUCAAACCCAAAUCGUAUUUAUUUUCUUAAAUAAAUGUAACGACAACAAUGUUUGUGACAAAACGUGAUAAAAUACCAAAUAAAAGAAGCAAAAAAAAUUAAAAAAAUACUAUAAUAUUGUUAUUUAGUUUGUUUUCAAACUACCUAUACACAACAAUGCGAGAAAAACGUGUAAGCAUACUUAAAAUAACUAAAAGGCGACCGGACCAGUUCUCUUUUUAGAGGCGGUUUGUUUUUUGUUUUGUGUGGUCGAAUUCGGAUUUUGACAGUAAAAAACAUAAUGAAAAAAAAUAAGUGAUUGGGCAACGGUAGGAACCAGCUGACGGCGGUGCGCGGUGGAUCUAAUCGCCGCCGCUGCCAUAUAAUAUACUACGCUAUAAUAGGUAUAUGGUAAAGACUAGUUUUGAGUUUCGACGGUAUAUAAUGCAUACACACUACGCAUAUACGAACCGGUUGAUCCGAUCUGGUUUUGAUCGGUCCUAAAGGCGGCGGCAGAGAGACGACAACGGCGCGACGACGACGACGACGACGACGACGACGACGAUCGACCGUAGCUCGGGGCCCCGCGAGCGGAACGAAGAAUGUGACCUCUACCUUUUGCCUCCGCCGCCGCACGUCGAACUUUUGAGGAGAGAACACACACACACACACGCACACACACACGCACACACACACACACACACACACACGCACACGCACACACACAGACACACGCGCGCGGGCGCGCACGCACACAUGUGUACAACGCACACCCGUCCGGCCACGGCAGUCCUUGAUCUCGUGAGGUCAGUGUUAAAGGUCAGACGUGAUGGUUUCACCGUGAGAGACGUGUGGCCGUCGCACGUACAUAUCAUAGCCAACGAGGAAGCCGCGCGUUCGGUGCAACAGUAGUAGUAGUAGUAGAAGUAGUAGUUGUAGUAGUAGUAUAAACGUGGUAGUGUGCGAGUGGUAUGAGUAGUAGUAGUGGUAUCAACCAUGAUAGUGGUAGUAUAUAGACGUAUAGUAGUGACUAUAUUAUAGUGUAGCUGCACAGGCAUACUAAUAUGUAUUACAGCCAGUAAAGAGUUGUGCAUUAUAUUAUAGUCUUAUAACAUUGUUGUCCGCGUCCGUUUUUCCAUAUUAUACUUCUAGGUAUAUAUUAUGUAUACGAAGUGAACAAAACACACAAAUAAUACGGUAAAAUUAUAUUUUUAAUAUGAUACAAAAUAUAUUACUACGGUACGUGCACGCGGCUGUCGUCAGUGGCUGCGAAUUUAGAAUUUUCGGUUUGUUUAUGAACUAUGAUUAUAUACCACGCGACAAAUCCGUAGAAGUUGUAUCAUUAAAAUAUAUUAUGCUUCUAAAUAAAUAUUAUGUUUCCAUAAAUCAGCUACGUUUUAGUUUCCGAGCUUGACAUUUUAAUACAAGGUUCCUUGUAAGUUGUAUAAUAGCAGCUUAAAAAUACUAAACAUACGUAUAUGCGUGAUUUUUAUGAUUAUUCAAAGUUCAAGUUUUAACAAAAAUCGUCAAAAUCAAGAAUUUUCGUCUCAUGCAAAUCAUGUCCAAUAUGAUUUGUCUUUGGAAGUGUCUUUCCAACUCAUUAUUUUUCCUUGCUCUCCGUCAUUUACUGGUCCGAAAAUCUUCCUUAGGAAUUACAAAGGUUAUUCGAACGGAACUCGGAUGCAGCUAUACGGAUAAUAUACAUAGCUAUACUGCGUUUAAAAUGAACAAAAUGUUCGGCGGCACUCAGUAUAUCUCUUGAGUCUAAAUACAUAUUAUAAUUCUAUUCGAAAUAUAAAAUUAUCAUAUUAUACAAUGCCACGUGUGUGUCUAUGUACAUUGUACGUAUGUAUAAUAUAAGUACACCGUUGAUAAAAUCUGAUCGUUCCAAUGAGAUCGUGCUCUGCGUAAUAAUAAUAAAUAAUAAUAAUAAUAAUUUAUAUUUUAUUAAUAUCGCGUCUUAACGUCACCUCGUCCUUGCACUGGGCGUAAAAGACCGGCGGUGGCAGACGAUGUGCCAAUAAUCAGAGGCGUUAGGUCAUACAUAAUAUAUAACAAUAUUAUAUAUUAUAUUUGUAUUGGUUGUAGAAGUGUAGUUACCAUAUUAUAUUAUUUACAAAUUUACAAUAUUAUACUAACACUCGCAGGUGAUUAGAUAUUAAGAACCGGCAUUGCAACGAGACAAGUCAUACCUGUAAUAAUAUUACUUAACAUAAUAAUACGUACGUGUCAUCUUUAUUUCUUGUACGGUAUAGCAUACGACAUAUUAACUGGUUUGGUAGAAUCUCAAUACAUCAAUGGUGAAAGUUAUAUAUAUAGUACCUAAUAAUUAUUGUUUAACUUGAUUUUAAAAUGGAUGACGUAAAAAGUUAAUAUCACAAUAUGUUCAUACCCUAAUAUUGCAAGUUUAGAUAACAAUAUUCCUAUAAGUCAGUGUAAUUAGUGUAGUUCAUAUAAAAGUUCAAUUUUAUCGGUCUUUAAAGUAUUUAAUUUGGUAGUGGGAUCUAGGUAGUCGUUAUUAAGUAGGAAUAUAAAAAAGAUAAAGACAUUUCGUCAGAUUUUAAAGUGAUUUUAUGCAGAGAUAAUAAUACGACGCUUCAAAAUAAUGAAAAACAAUUUUCGAGUGUAUAGUCUUUAUCAUAAUAAAAAUCUAUUAGUGAAAAGUCAAACCUAUUUGACGUUAUAUAGACUCAUAUAAAACAAAAAAUUGUGUUGAUACAAAAUUCUAAUAACCAUAAUAUAAUAUUAUGAAAUUGUAAGUCUGCAUAUAUUAACCUACUCGUGUUUUCAACGUU